rnacentral:lncRNA from 1 species
CUCUGGGGGUCCUCUCUGUACCUCCUGCCUUUACAGCCUUGGUCUGUCCCAUGGCACCCGUUUCGCACGUGGACAGAGAAGCAUCACAGCUGCCAGAGGCCACACAGCAAGUCAGUGCUGAGCCUGCAGCCUCGGCCUCCUGCCUCUCCCCACGUGAGUUGGACUCAGUCCCAGGAGGAGGUGGGGAGAUUCUCACGCUCAUGCCCAUGCUCAGCGUCAUGUUGUGACAACCGAGACAAGCGCUCUGACAGCCGCUGUGGUGUGGCAUUCCCAGGAGCUCUCUUCCUGACCAGGAAUUCCUGGUCCUUGGCACCUGCUGCCCAUCAACUGCCCGGUGGGGUCGGGGCAGCUGGGGCGGGUGCCUGUGGUAGCAGCCAGAUGGCCUGGGCAGAGGGGGAUGGGGGCUCUUAGAGGCAGCUCUUGGGACCAGGUGCUCAGUCUGAGCCCUCCAGAGUCCUCCCUCCUCUGAGAGGGAAGGUCUUUCACCCAGGAUUGCAUAGGUCAUGUGAGGGGAGCUGGAACGUGUCUGUCCAGUUUCAAAGUCUGCUCCAAAGCGAUUGCACCUGCCUGCCCAUCACCCGGGGAUGGGGGUGGGGUGGGGGAAGCAUGCAGAAGGUGCAGGGAUAAGACUACCAGCUGCUACAAGGACCCGAGCAGGUGUACUUUCGGGGCUGCGCUGGUCGGGUCAGGCCACAGCCCCUUGUGACCUCAGAAUUCAGCACCAACCCCUCUCUGACCCCUUUCUGUCUCUCCCUCCGUCUGUCUGGCUUACUCUCCUUCACUCAGAGGGUCAGGGGAGAGCAGGCAAGCCAGAGCCCUGGGCAGGUAACAGGUGGCCCUGACCAGGCCCCCGGGACGGUGCUGGAAGCUGACGAGAAAUGGGGAGCAGGACCCCCGCCGCGGUGCACGCAGCUCCAGGGAGGGGAGUCAUCUGCUGUCGCUGCCACUACCCUCGCUGGCCCAUCAGGCGCCCGCUGUGGGCCGGGCACUGGGCGGGGGGUCAGGCAAGGCGUGACCCCCACCUGUCCUGGGAGCCCAGGGGGAGGGAGGCAGGUGGAGGCAAUGGCUUGGCGGGCGACAGCGGGGCUGGGUGCACUCAGCUUCCUUGCACCUCAGUUCCUCACCUGGAGAAUGGGGAUGAUCCGUGUAUUUACCCCGUAGGGUUGUUUUGAGGACCGGAUUGCUGUUAAGAGGCUUUUAACAGAACCUAUCACAGGAUAAACACUCGAGAAACAAGAGCAGCCGCUUUAGCGCCGUCGCCUGUUUUCCCGUUAGGUGAGGCCUGCAGCCUGGCGGGCUGGCAG